GAAAGAUGGAGGCCAGUGCCAUAAGUCAAGGUGUAGUCAAGGCACAGUCUUCUGGUGUUAAACCCGGUUCCUCCGCACAGAGUACAGCAAGUGCAAGUAAGAAGAGAUGGGAGAAAUUCAGAGGAAAGAGAGGCAAGUUUUGGAACAGGCUUAAGUCGGGUCUGGGAAUGAGUAGUGGCUCCAGUUCUGGCGCAGAUUUUCCAGUGUGCAAGAGGUGUGGCAAACAGCAUAGAGGAG
rnacentral:lncRNA from 1 species